rnacentral:rRNA from 1 species
UAGGGAAUCUUCGGCAAUGGACGAAAGUCUGACCGAGCAACGCCGCGUGAGUGAAGAAGGUUUUCGGAUCGUAAAACUCUGUUGUUAGAGAAGAACGUUGCAUAGAGUGGAAAAUUAUGCAAGUGACGGUAUCUAACCAGAAAGGGACGGCUAACUACGUGCCAGCAGCCGCGGUAAUACGUAGGUCCCGAGCGUUGUCCGGGUUUAUUGGGCGUAAAGCGAGCGCAGGUGGUUUAAUAAGUCUGAUGUAAAAGGCAGUGGCUCAACCAUUGUGUGCAUUGGAAACUGUUAGACUUGAGUGCAGUAGAGGAGAGUGGAAUUCCAUGUGUAGCGGUGAAAUGCGUAGAUAUAUGGAGGAACACCGGUGGCGAAAGCGGCUCUCUGGACUGUCACUGACACUGAGGCUCGAAAGCGUGGGUAGCAAACAGGAUUAGAUACCCUGGUAGUCCACGCCGUAAACGAUGAGUGC